GGGGCCAGGAUCCACCAGGCGGCUGGCUUGCGGUGUGCUUGCACGCCUGAACCCACCCAUCCAUCCACCCAUCCACCCACCCAUCCAUCCAUCCAUCCAUCCAUCCAUCCAUCCAUCCAUCCAUCCUUGCAUCCAACAUUUACUCAGCGCAUCCUCUGUGCCAGGUGGGGAUGCUCGUAUUAAACUGCCAGAGGACGCAUCCCCUAAACCAAGGAGACCAGGGCCCCCUGAGAAGCCUUGGGGGGAUCCGGUCCCAAGAGGUGGGGAGGGGGCUCCCGCCAGGACCUCUCGGGAGGGGGUGGUGGGUGGGUCCGAGGGGCUGCCAGCCAGCGCAUGCUCAGAUCUGUCACCCCUUCCCGCGCUCACCAGAGCGCCUACCUGUGUGCCCAUUCGCUGGUCUCUUUUGUUGCCUGUGGUAACCCCACAGUUCCUGGCACGUAGUAGACCCUCAAAUAAGUGUGAUGAAUGAAUGAAGCGUGAGCCUACCAUAUUCUCCAGGUUAGAAAGGACGCAGCGGGGCUGGGGAGGAGUGGCGGCCUCCCCUCCUGGAGAGAGGACACCGGCUGAGCCCAGCAAGAGGACCCCUUGUUAGGACAGCUCGGAGAAGCUGGCCUUGUGGGACCAAACCUGCUCUUCGAGACGGAAGCUUGCAGGGGUCUAGCGAGGAGGAGGCGCCCGCCACGCAGAGAGCGCUUCCCUGGCGAGCAGGCCCCUGCACUUCUCUUCCUCCCCAAUAUUUGGGGAAUGGGAGUUUCACGCCCAGAAAACCCGGUGCUGGUCCCUGUAGCCACUCUAGCCUGCCGUGGGUCCCCGCUGGCCUUGUUGCUGGUCACCUCCCAGAACUUUGGGGUAUAGUGUUGACAACAUUGGCCCGGCUUCCAAGGAGAGGCCGCGGGAAGACCACUCUCUGUCACUGCCCAGCCCCACGCCUGGGCAAAGCCCCUCCUCCACACACAAGCACCGGUGUCUGUGUAGCGCAUCGUCCUGAGGAUCUGAGAUGUCACCAGGUUUCAUGUGCGGACAACGACAGUGUGAAGGUCAACAUCUGAUCUCAGGAUUCCUAAAGGCCACAGCGCCGCUUGUUGGUUGUCAAUUUUCUACUGUACAGCAAGGACCCAGUCACACAUACAGGCCUGCAGAAGUUGCCCGGCCGGGAUCCAGCCCCGCCCAGCAGCACAAUGCACCAUAGGGGCAGCAAGGCUGGAUCCUUAACCCCCUGCACCACUAGGUAACUCCCAUGAACUGCACUUCUGAACGAUGGCUGUACCUCUGAACCGCAAGGAGCUCUGCGAUCCUUUACCCAGAUGCCCAGCUUCUUGUUCUCCAAACCCUGAAAAGUCACCGUGUUCUUUAGUUUUGAGAUGGUUGCCUUCAGCCGAAGUUGACUUUUAAAACUUGAAUAAGACCUGAAAUUGUCUUCAAGAAUCUCACAACCUAAACUUACACUUCUGUGUGUGGAUAUUUCGGCCUCUGCAAAGCUUCUCAGCCCCGUGAGGGCUCACUCCUUGCAGCCACGGACCCUGGGGGUUUGGCUACAAAACAGAAUCCAGUGCUGCCCCAUCCCACAGAGAAUGACUGGGCUGAGCAGGGGGAAACAAGGGACACUAAGAAACGCUGACCCAGCAGUUGCUCCUGGAAGAAGCCAUUAAGGUCAAGGCAGAAAUAAUGGCCACUUCAACAGGAACAGGAGAUGCAGAACACAAGAGGCUGGGCCAGCAGGGCUGGGCUGAGUUUACCUGGGUCUGAGCAGCCUUCCUAGAAGCCUUGCUAGAGCCAGUUCUCAACUUAGCUGCAGACCAGGGGCUCUGGGGAGUGGGGACGGUCCCUGGGCUCCAGCCCAAACACGCUGAGCUCAUUGGUCUGGGGUGGGGCCUGGGAAAGGGCACUUUCAUAGACUCUUCAGGUGCUUCUCAUUGACAUUUAGAACUAAGAACCGCAACAACCAUAGUAAAGCUUCACCAUUUGCUGGUUCCAGAAAAAACAAAACAAAACAACAAAAUUUUAUGUUGUGCCUCAUAAAGAAGUUGAAAUGCAGCAUGAAUUACAAAGGUCAAGAAUCAGGAAAAAUAGGGGGCACCCAGACUUGAACUGGGGACCUCUUGAUCUGCAGUCAAAUGCUCUACCACUGAGCUAUACCCCCUUCUGCUAUAUGUGGUGACAAUUAAUACUGUUCAUCAGUCUAGCCACGCCCAGGCUGCCUGUAAAUCUAAGAGCCGCCACUUCAGGAAGGACCUCUUUUGGGAACUGGCAAACCACUCUUCAGCCUGCCACCUAAGAAGCAACAAGCUCUGUCCUCAAAAGCCCUGCAGCCUGUGUCCACCCACCCCGCCCCAGCCAAGGGCCCCAGGGUGUGAGCAGCAGCCGGGAGAAGCCUUGACGUUGGCUGUAGAAUGGCCUUCAGAGUCAGAGGCCUGGCUCCAUCAUGGUGGGCACCUAAAAAACAGACACUGCCGGUGACUGAGAUGUCUGUGCAAACCCAUUUAAUGAGGCCUGACUCUCAUGGGCCGACCGUCGGUUCAGGGCACUUUCUGCUAAACUACAGUCUGGGACAAAAAUGACCCUCCACUUCUGCAGUUACUAGAGAUGGAGAAUCAUGGAGGUGAUCCACUCCUAGGAACCGUCAGGAGUAGGCGGCUGAGUGAAUUUAGGAAUCAUCCAAAUUAUCCCUGAGCUAACAUGAUGCAAGGACCAGGCCAUGCUGCUGGAGAGGAACCAUACUGAGCCCCGGGGCCCUCUGAUCCGUGGGCAAAUCUGUCUGCACACUCACGCCAAGACCCUGCUUCUGCUCUUGUCCAGGAAGCUGGGAACCUUCUCUUUGGAAAACCGAUGUUGGGAGCUCUCCCUCUCACCCCCCAGCUUCUCCCUCGGGGCCUCGGCAGCCCAGCAGUUGCUUCUCCUCCUCCCCUGGCUGAGAAGCUGGGAGAGGCUGACCUUGACCGUGAUGCUGAGGUGGAAGGAGACCCGGGGCAGGGCUCUGCGGGAGACGCCAGCCUUUGCUCUGCCCACUAACAGACUUAGAAGGCCCGCAACUGGGAGAAAGAGCGGCCACCAGAGGAAAAGGCAACAAGGGGAGCCCUGGAGGAGACUUGUGGGUGACUGGGGGGGAGGUGGGGGGGGCAGGCAGGGAGGAGGGACCCGGCCUGGAACCCCAGCUGGGUGAGGCCCACAGAGCCCCUACCUGCACUGCUCUCUCCCCAGACACGCCUCGGCCCUAAGAUCUAAGUGACAGCGAAGCAGGUGCCUCCCAGCCACAGCAGGCCCUCCACCCCUGAGCCUCUGUAGAAGUCUUUCCUGCCGCCUGAAAUGCCCUCCUUCCCGGCCCUCGAGGACCAGGCCCUGCACCCAGGAGGCUUCUCAUUGGCUUCCUUCCUCUGCACCAGGCGCGGGCGGUCUGCUUCCGCAUCAAAACUACUCAGCCUCCCUGGCCACAAGUUUCUAGGGGAGCCGCAGGGUCAGGCCCCGCCCCCCCCCCCGCCCCCGUCCCCACCUUGAUUCCAUUCUCUUAACACUAAGAGGAGGUCACAGAGGGUGGUCCUUCUCUGUCCUUGGCCUUGGAGUCCUCAGACACAUAGGGGCUAUUGGUUCAAACCCAGUGAGCUUAACACAGAUUCGGGGAGUUUAUUCCAUAAUGUGGCGGGGGUUUUUGUUUGUUUGUUUGUUUUGUCUUUUUAGGGCUGCACCUGUGACAUAUGGAGGUUCCCAGGCUAGGGGUUGAAUCGGAGCUGGAGCUGCUGGCCUGCACCACAGUCUCAGCAACUCUGUAUCCUAGCUGCGUCUGCAACCUACACCACAGAUCACUGCAAUGCCGGAUCCUUAACCCACUGAGUGAGGCCAGGGAUCGAACCUGCACCCUCAUGGAUACUAGUCGGGCUGGUUAACCACUGAGCCACAACAGGAACUCCCAUUCCAUAACUUGGGCUUUGUAGGGAGACUUCUUUAGAGACCGGAAGGAAAUUCAAGCAGCACAAGCAGUCCAGUGACCUUUCCUUGAGAGAAUCAGCCUCCACCCAAUCCCAGCGCCUCUGCCCCUGGGAACAGAGAGACAAGCACCUCUCUGCUCCGGUGGUUCGUGACCUUCUCCAGAGGACGUGGGCCCUGGCGCUUCCUGUCCACUGGAAGAAGAGCUCAGCAUCUGCUGAGUCCAAAAUCAUGGCCUUUCAAAGACACUCCCUGAAACAGCAGUUGAACAAGAAAAGGACUCGCACAGCCACCAUCUGUCUGUUGACCUGAGGCACCUUGAAGAGAUCCUGCCCAAGCUCUUUGGAGACACGUGCAGGACCUACACCUGAAGUGUCUAGCCCAACCCUAAGCAUGAAAGUUGGUUUGCAAUAACUAUUUGUUGGAUGGAAGGAAAGAGAGAAAAACUAGCAAAGACAUUUUUGUCUGGGGUAAAUGCAAAUUACCUCAGGUACCACCAGCCACGUGAACACUGCUGCUGUUUAUCCAAACUUGUGCGAGUACGUUCUCCCGCGUUUGGGUUGGAGCCCUUCCUCCUGGAGGUGAGCCAGUUCACAGCUCAAGACGCUCUCUCACGGUCAUUCUCCCUCACGGGUCUUCUGGCUCCUUCGAAAUGUUCCCUCUCUUGCUGAAAAGUAAAAAAAGCCAGGAAGGAAUCGGAGAAAUGCUCGAUUAAAGUUUCUCUUGUUUGGAGUUCCCGUCGUGGCUCAGCGGUCACGAACCCGACUAGCAUCCACGAGGACAUGGUUCUGAGCCCUAGCCCUGCUCAGCCGGUGAAGUACCCGGCGUUGCCGUGAGCUGCGGUGUAGGUCGCAGAGGCGGUUCUGAUUCCCUGCGGCUAUGGCUGUGGUGGAGGCCGGCAGCUGCAGCUCCGAUUUGACCCCUAGCCUGGGAAUCUCCACGGGUGCGCCCUAAAAAAAGACAAAAAUAAUAAUAAUAAAACAUUUUAAAGCUUCCCUGAAAGACGUUGCAGGGGACCUAAGCAAAGGGCACGCUUUUAGGUGGUCCCCCAAACUAACAACUUCACAGCAAUGUCGAUGCUCCUGGAUUGGCCUAGAGAUUUAACGCAAUUCCAGUCAAAAUCCCAGUUAGGAUUUUUAUCGUCUUUGACAUGCUAACGCAAAAAGUUAUGUGGGAGGAGUCCCCUGGUGGCUUAGUGGUUGAGGACCCAGUGUUGUCACUGCUGGGGCACAGGUUCAAUCCCUGACACAGGAAAUUCCGCAUGCUGCAAGUACCGGCCAAAAAGAAAAGUUAUGUAGGAAAAGGAAGAGCUGGGAAUAGCUAGUGUUUUCCUGAAGAACAAGAGCUGGGCAAAGAAACUAGUGCUAUCAGAUGUGAAGACAUAAAAUCGGUAAGAUGGUGUUGUAUUGGCACGAGGAUAGACACACAAGACCGAUAGAGCAGAAUCGGACCAGAAAUGGACCUCUCCAUAGAGAGAAACUGAUAAACGAGAGAGCUGGCAUUGUAGCACAAUGGAGAAAGAGCAGGUUUUUUGAUAAAUGGUGCUAAGACAAUUGGAUGGCCAUACACAAAGUAAAUUCUGGAAGGAUUUAAGACUUAAGUAUAAGAGACCAAUCUGCAAACUUUUAAAAGAAAAAGUAACAGAAAACCCUUAUGACCUUGGAAUAAGAGAAGGAUUGCUUAAUUAAGACGUACGUAAAUACGAUGAAGAAAAGGAUUGGUCGAUUCUAGUUUGUUGACAGUAGGAAUUUCUGUGUACUGAGAGUCUCCAGAAAGAAAGCGAAAGGGAGAGUCAUAGAUCAGAAGACGGAUGUCAAUCGUUAUGUCAGCCCAGGAAUAGUCGGAAAACAGAAAGCACUCUAGGCUGUUCAGCAGAGAGAAUGUGAUACAGGCGAUUGGUUAACUAGGUUUAGGAGAAGUAACACAGCAGAAAGAGAGCCUCGAGACAGUGCAGAGAUAAUAACCAGGAAGCAGCUGCCCUAGUGCUAAGAGAAUAACUGAAGAGGUUGCAGGAGGCUUGGAGGGGGGCCCUCUAACGUGUUGGGACUCCAGCUUGUGGGGCAAGAGCACCGCCCAGCUGGUGCUGGUACCCUGGGAACACAGAAGGCUGGUCUCCCAGAGAAGUACUGAAAAUAAGGCUGGUUCUAGGCCUGCCAAACAAAAGUGUGGGCAUUUAAACCAGUGCCAUCCAGGUGGAGGAUCAUGGCUGGGGUCCCCUGACAAGAGCGGGCAGAACAAAGCACGUUCUGGUCUGCUUUUGUCAUCAUAGACCACUUCGCAUUUUCUUGUUGGUUAUAAAAAUGGAAUGAGACAUCACGCACUCUUUUUCUCUGCCUCCUUUCACUCAGCCUGUUUUCAGAUUUGUCCAUAUUGCUGCAUAUGUAUCAUUUCUUUUUAUUGCUCGGUAGUGCUCUCUCUGUUCAGUUUUGUGUACCCACCCGCUAUUCACCUGUUUAUAGUCAUUUAUUUGAUUUCCAGUGUUUGGCUAUUGCUAAUAAAGCUGCUAUGACAC
rnacentral:tRNA from 1 species